ACUAUCAGUCGCUCUUACAUACAUGUUUCUUUGUAAUUCUUGGCUACAGAUCUUGCAAUUCCUUCGAACUUUCAAAGCUCAAGUUCCUCUGAGAAGUUCUAAUAGGCGAUCUGUUGGUGGCUUAUACUACCUUUCAUAUCUGGAUAACAACAUGCUUCUAGGCCGUGCUGUUGGAGGUGGCGGUGUGUUCAUAUUCACCAGAGCUCAACCUAUCCUCCUCUGAAGAAUGGUCUGAACAUAAAACCCUUGAGAAUGUGUAGAUACCCAUUGAAUGGAAGGAUAUGAAGAUCAAUAUAAUCUCGGAUUCGGUGCCGGGUUGAGGCAGAAUCCAUACAAGAUGGUAAAUAUAGUAUUACUUGCUGAAAAUUUUGCUACCCUUUUUUCUUCUUUUAGUUGAUGUUACUCCUUGAUGUCAUACUUACUUUAAUCCCAGCAAGAUAGUAAGAUGGUUUUUACUCUCAUGUUGACUCAUUGUCAAAGAGUUACAAAACAUAUCAUUAAUUUUGCUAUAAAAAAAUAAUCUUCAUAUUUA